rnacentral:tRNA from 1 species
UUAAAGAUAAUUUAAAUAAUUAUUUUUUAGUAUAAAAAAUAAAUUAAUCUUAAAAGAAUUAUUAUUAAA